UCCCUGGUAGUCCAGUGGUUAGGAAUCUGCCUCACAAUGCAGGGGACACAAGUUCGAUCCUUGGCUGGGGAG
rnacentral:tRNA from 1 species